UUGCAUUGAUAUAAGAGCAGCUGACUGAAAAAUGGAUUUAAAAUUUCUCGUUCAAAAAUCUCUAAGUCUCGAAAUUAAUGAUAAACUUUUUAAAAAUGAGCUGUUUCAAAGCAAACUAAAAGAUUAUAAAUGACUCAUAACUUAUAGAAUAAAAGAGAAAAUUUAGGUGGUAAAUUUCACUGCGAUUUAAAACAGCUGCUUUAUUAGUACUGUAUCAGGUACGAUUAGUCUUUAAAUAUAACCUCAAUAUGUCUAGAUUUGUUCUGAUUUUCUUGGUUGUGUGCACCGUUGUAUGUCUAACUGAAUGCAAGCCUGCCGAUGGCGAUGGUAACGACGAUGCAAAAUUGACAGACUUGACCCCUAUCGUGGGUGACCUUCUUGGUUUUAUCCAAAAAGCUCUGGAACCUUUUUUCAACGCACUCGCACCAAUUCUGCAGUCCGUUUUUCCCGGUCUUCCGUGAAAUCUCCAGGAUUGCCAAACUAAUGGCAAAAAUCACGGACUAAUGCUGGAAAGACAAAAAUGAUAUAAUCUUCUGUUUUGAGUGUUAUGUUAAUAAAUCUAAUAUUCUACACAUUUAAAAAAAUAAAAAAUUUGUAUGUC